GACGAACGCUGGCGGCGUGCCUAAUACAUGCAAGUUGAGCGAUGAAGAUUGGUGCUUGCACCAAUUUGAAGAGCAGCGAACGGGUGAGUAACGCGUGGGGAAUCUGCCUUUGAGCGGGGGACAACAUUUGGAAACGAAUGCUAAUACCGCAUAACAACUUUAAACAUAAGUUUAAAGUUUGAAAGAUGCAAUUGCAUCACUCAAAGAUGAUCCCGCGUUGUAUUAGCUAGUUGGUGAGGUAAAGGCUCACCAAGGCGAUGAUACAUAGCCGACCUGAGAGGGUGAUCGGCCACAUUGGGACUGAGACACGGCCCAAACUCCUACGGGAGGCAGCAGUAGGGAAGCUUCGGCAAUGGACGAAAGUCUGACCGGGAAACGCCGCGUGAGUGAAGAAGGUUUUCGGAUCGUAAAACUCUGUUGGUAGAGAAGAACGUUGGUGAGAGUGGAAAGCUCAUCAAGUGACGGUAACUACCCAGAAAGGGACGGCUAACUACGUG
rnacentral:rRNA from 1 species